rnacentral:lncRNA from 1 species
GUUUCUUACAUCAGGAGUGAAGUUUUUUAAUUGUGUACCCUGAACCCCCGCUCACCAGAUGGAUAGCUGAAAACAGGCUACUGUACCUCCCGAGUUAGCCUUCUAAAAACCCUGCCUGCAUGGGGGAAGGUAAGGAGGAAAAGGAGAAUGUACAGAGUAUUACCAGAAAUUAGCCAAUACCGACACAAGCCCAAUUAAUUCCCUUUUUGGGUCUCUGUUGGCUGUUCUUGAACGUGAGUAAAUGCUGUGCUGCGAGGGAGACACCGCAUAGUGCGAUCUCAGCACCACUGCCAGGCGAAGGACAGACACUGCAAAUUAAAAUAUUCCUAAUGUAAGUUUUAACGCAACCCCCCCAAAUCUCUAGGAACACGAGCCCUUCAGUAAUAGCCCCAGCACUGACGGAGCAUUGUUGUGGUGGGGGUUGGUUCUGCAUUAUGGACAGAGGAUGGGGAGGGACAAUAAAGCAAGUCACUGGCAGAGAAAACCACAAGGUGGAGUGGAAGACAAUGCCUGCAUUUAUGGUUAACUAUAAGUGAUACACUAGGAAGAUGAUGGUAUUCAGACACACACAAACAAUUUGAUUCAGACAGAUUGGAUACAAGAUUUCAACCAGCAUAAGGAGAACAGGUAAGCAGGCAACAUGGCAAAAGAAAAUGUUAUAGACUUGCUGAAGGAACCCAGCAGGAAAGAGUAUCAGCUCCACAUAGACAAAAAUAACAACUUGGAUCCCAGUGAGAAUGAACAGACCUGAUUUACAAGAUUCUGAUACUUGCUGCUCAUAUUAGCAUCCAGGCGAACUGACAGUGGGAGCAUAUAGAAGUGAAGGUGGUCAGGGAAGGUGGCACUUGAAUAUGCAGGUGAGGUUGCAAGAUGAAUCUGGGGCUUGUCACAUAACUUUAAAGAUAGCAAAUUGACUUGGAUUUA